rnacentral:misc_RNA from 1 species
GUGCUGGUGCUGGUGCUGGUGCUGGUGCCUGUGCUUCCCCUAUAAUUGGAGUGGGAUUAUCUGGCAACUCUGAGCUAUGAGUCGGCGAAACUGAAGAAGACAUUACUCCAGCUGACUGAGAUAGAGCUGGUAGGGCUGAAGCUGGAGCUGCAGCUGCAGGUACUGCUGGUGGUGGCGGCGGCGGCGGCUUUGGAGGUGGAUCAACCUGUAAAUUCGGCUUCCCUUCUGGAUUUGGAUUCGCAGCAGCUAGAUUCGAAGCCGGAGUUGGAGUCCGAGUCUGUGUUCUGGCGCUCUCCUCUGCUAAAGCAUC